rnacentral:lncRNA from 1 species
AACUGAGUUACUAUUUGUAAGCAUGUCAUUUCUGGGAAUUAAUGUUUCUAUAAUAACAUCUCUGUCAUUUGUUGCAUUGACGAAUAGUGCAGGACAAGGUUGAAUCACACGGUUUAGUUAAUUUUUAAAUGUUUCAGUCAUCUAUUAUAGAUGUGGGAACGUGAAGCUUCUCAAAGGUCAAAUGGUGAAAAAUGCCAUAGUCGAUUGCAGGUUGAGUCGCUCCCAUUUCUGAGAGGACUCAUCACACCUAAUUUGAGUAAUUUCCUUUUCAAUUUCCUGGGCCAUUUUAUUUUACCUCUGGCUGCCCCUUGGAUGAGUGGUGCUUCUCUGCCAUAUCUGCUGCCCUUUUCUUUACCAGGUACAAAUGACUGGCUCAUGAAAGUUAUUAGAAUUUGGACCUACGAGAGCUAAAUUCUGAGACAUUUGGCCACAGUUUCAUUCCUGAGCAGUUUCCUUUGCUGUGAUAAAACACCAUCCCAAAAGCAACUAGGAGAGAAGGGUGUGUGUCAUCUUACAGCUUGUAAACCAUCAUCCAGGAAAGGCAGGGAAGGAACUCAAGGCAGGUACCUAGAGAAAGCACUUGAAGCAAUUAGAAGAUUGAAUCAUUACCACUGCUGGGUUGAUAAUCAUUUCUCAGGCUGUCUUUUGGCAAAGAGCAAGCUACAUUUUACAUUGCUUGAGUCACAAUGGUCAGUCUUCUCAAACGGAAGACUUCAAGGAAAAAGAAACUUGGAGUAAGAUGAAAGAAGAAAGAGGAAAGACAAGAAAUCAAGAACUCCAAAGGUCACAAGGCAGGAACAUAAGAAAAGAAAUAAAAUUUUUCUCUUUGUAUUAAAAUUUUUAAUAUUAUAAUGUAAUAAUUAUACUAUAAAUAUCAGGGAACAUCUCUAUUGUCAGCCUCGUCUUUUUGGUGGGCAUGUGAGUUGUCAAAAGAUCAGCUUCCAUACUGGGCAAUGCAUUAUGGCUUACAUAAAGUUUUAUUUAUGUAGAAAAUACUCUGUUAAGUAUUGCAGUAUGGAAGGCUUAUUACUGAUGGGUCAAGAAUAAAACUGAUCCCCAAUAUGGAAAUCAGUAUAGCAAUUCUUUAGAAAAUUAAAAUAACUACAAUAUGAUCCAAAUAAGUGUUUAACUGAAAGAUGCCCAGUGAAUGAAUCACACAGAUAACUGCAUAAUAUUUCCACUGAACCACUUUCCCAAUGGCUAAGUAGCAAAUUUAUGGAACUAAUGUAAGGGAUCAUCAGGAUACAGCUAUAUAAAGAGAAAGUGUGGAACUCAUACAGAGAUACACAUACAGACACACAUCUGCACACAGUAAUGUGUAAACACACACCUACAUGGACAAACACAGACACAGGCACACACCACAGAUGCAUACACAGACACCAACAUAUAUAUACACACAUACACUGACACACAUAAAAAUAACCACUUAGCAAACAUAUGGUAAGACAGGGUUUGUUCAUCUUGCACUCUGAGGUAACAGUCUGUCACAGAGGGGAAUCAGGUCAAAAACUGAAGGUAGAAACCAUGGAAGAAGGAACUGAAGGAGAAGACAGGGAGGAUGUUGCUUGCUCGCUGUCUACUGCCUGAGCUCACUAUAGUUCCUGAUUUAAGAAAA